CCUACGGGAGGCUGCAGUCGAGAAUCAUUCACAAUGGGGGAAACCCUGAUGGUGCGACGCCGCGUGGGGGAAUGAAGGUCUUCGGAUUGUAAACCCCUGUCAUGUGGGAGCAAAUUAAAAAGAUAGUACCACAAGAGGAAGAGACGGCUAACUCUGUGCCAGCAGCCGCGGUAAUACAGAGGUCUCAAGCGUUGUUCGGAGUAACUGGGCGGAAAGCGUGCGUAGGCUGUUUCGUAAGUCGUGUGUGAAAGGCGCGGGCUCAACCCGCGGACGGCACAUGAUACUGCGAGACUAGAGUAAUGGAGGGGGAACCGGAAUGCUCGGUGUAGCAGUGAAAUGCGUAGAUAUCGAGAGGAACACUCGUGGCGAAGGCGGGUUCCUGGACAUUAACUGACGCUGAGGCACGAAGGCCAGGGGAGCGAAAGGGAUUAGAUACCCUAGUAGUC
rnacentral:rRNA from 1 species